CUACGGGGGGCUCCAGUAGGGAAUCUUAGACAAUGGGGGAAACCCUGAUCUAGCCAUGCCGCGUGUGUGACGAAGGCCUUAGGGUCGUAAAGCACUUUCGCCAGGGAAGAUAAUGACGGUACCUGGUAAAGAAACCCCGGCUAGCUCCGUGCCAGCAGCCGCGGUAAUACGGAGGGGGUUAGCGUUGUUCGGAAUUACUGGGCGUAAAGCGCGCGUAGGCGGACUAUUAAGUCAGGGGUGAAAUCCCGGGGCUCAACCCCGGAACUGCCUUUGAUACUGGUAGUCUUGAGUUCGAGAGAGGUGAGUGGAAUUCCGAGUGUAGAGGUGAAAUUCGUAGAUAUUCGGAGGAACAUCAGUGGCGAAGGCGACUCACUGGCUCGAUACUGACGCUGAGGUGCGAAAGUGUGGGGAGCAAACAGGAUUAGAUACCCGAGUAGUC
rnacentral:rRNA from 1 species